CGCGGUUGAUACAUUUGAUGGCGUCAACAAACUGCCUGCUCCAAAUCUUAUACAAUUUUAAGCUUGUAUCAGAUUUGCAAUCUUUUCUCUUGUAUUUUGCUGUGACCUGCCAUAAUAUUUUAUUGCAGAUUGCAGAGCUCUUACUCUGAUUCAGUUUUGUGUUAGCAAGCAGCAUGCCAGGGUGUUUUGCAUCUGGGUGCAGCCACCACAACAGCGCUGCAAGAUGUACAUUUAGGUUUCCAAGAGAUGGAGAGGAGAAGAUGAGGGUCGCUUAGGUGAGGGCUGUCAGACGUGCAGAUGCAGUUCCCAGGAGCACUUCCCAGCUCUGUUCCUGUCAUUUUGAGGAGGGCAGCUGCAUCCCAACACUCUUCCAGUACAACGGGUACCAGAUUGCUCAUUUCCGGUCGCCUGUGCUACACCAAGCUCAGAAAGGGAAAGCGGAUCACACAGCCACCAUCAGCGCGCUAGAACUCCAAGGAGGAUCUGCGAGCGGCGCGCCAGGCGCCGUCGGAGCAGCCCCUGGUAGCGACAGCCGCCGCGCCGUCGGAGCAGUCCCUGGGAGCCACGGCCAGCCGCUGUCGGAGCAGCCUCUGGGAGCCGGCCGGCCGCCGUCGGAGAGGCCUCUGGGAGCUUACCUGUAACUGACUGCGGCUGACGUGUGUGUCCGUGUGCGCGCGUGUGUGUGUGCGUUUCCACUGGCAGUGAUAGUGACAGGUGAACGGUGUUCAUGACCGAUGGCCGGCGGUCUUUGUUGUUAUUCUGAUAGUACGUAUGAGACAUUGUUUUAAUAUGUUUUGUUCUGAAACGUUUCCAAAAACUGAAUCACUUCAUUAUCAUUCUACUUUCAAGCAUGUUUACCAGAUAAAAGGAUUUGCAA